AGAGUUUCAUCCUGGCUCAGGAUGAACGCUAGCUACAGGCUUAACACAUGCAAGUCGAGGGGCAGCAUGGUCUUAGCUUGCUAAGGCCGAUGGCGACCGGCGCACGGGUGAGUAACGUGUAUCCAACCUGCCUUACACUCUUGGACAGCCUUCUGAAAGGGAGAUUAAUACAAGAUGUUACCAUGAGUAAGCAUUUUCGCAUGAUUAAAGGUUACCGGUGUAAGAUGGGGAUGCGUUCCAUUAGAUAGUAGGCGGGUAACGGCCACCUAGUCUUCGAUGGAUAGGGGUUCUGAGAGGAAGGUCCCCCACAUUGGAACUGAGACACGGUCAAACUCUACGGGAGGCA
rnacentral:rRNA from 1 species